rnacentral:lncRNA from 1 species
GUCGAGUUGAAUAAGAAACGAUAAAGAGUAUUGUGGAAGAAAAGCAGGAAAGAGAUUGAUAGAACUGGAGUCAUUGCAAGUAUAGGUAAUGGUACAUUAUA